rnacentral:rRNA from 1 species
CUUUCUUUGCUGGCGACCGGCGCACGGGUGAGUAACACGUAUCCAACCUGCCCUUUACUCGGGGAUAGCCUUUCGAAAGAAAGAUUAAUACCCGAUAGUAUAAUGAUUCCGCAUGGUUUCAUUAUUAAAGGAUUCCGGUAAAGGAUGGGGAUGCGUUCCAUUAGGUUGUUGGUGAGGUAACGGCUCACCAAGCCUUCGAUGGAUAGGGGUUCUGAGAGGAAGGUCCCCCACAUUGGAACUGAGACACGGUCCAA